AGUGAACGCUGGCGGUAGGCCUAACACAUGCAAGUCGAACGGCAGCACAGUAAGAGCUUGCUCUUACGGGUGGCGAGUGGCGGACGGGUGAGGAAUACAUCGGAAUCUACUUUUUCGUGGGGGAUAACGUAGGGAAACUUACGCUAAUACCGCAUACGACCUACGGGUGAAAGCAGGGGAUCUUCGGACCUUGCGCGAUUGAAUGAGCCGAUGUCGGAUUAGCUAGUUGGCGGGGUAAAGGCCCACCAAGGCGACGAUCCGUAGCUGGUCUGAGAGGAUGAUCAGCCACACUGGAACUGAGACACGGUCCAGACUCCUACGGGAGGACGCAGUGGGGAAUAUUGGACAAUGGGCGCAAGCCUGAUCCAGCCAUACCGCGUGGGUGAAGAAGGCCUUCGGGUUGUAAAGCCCUUUUGUUGGGAAAGAAAAGCAGCAGGUUAAUACCCCGCUGUUCUGACGGUACCCAAAGAAUAAGCACCGGCUAACUUCGUG
rnacentral:rRNA from 1 species